rnacentral:lncRNA from 1 species
AAUUAACAACAAUUCAAAUUCAUAUUCCCAAUUCAAAUAAUAAUAAUAAUAAUAAUAAAACCUCUAGGAUUUUGCAAUUUUGUAUUCUGUAUUUACUGGGUCUAUCUGCUGUUUUGAGUUUCUUGCAGAGACCAUUUGAUUCACACAAACUUUGGCAUGUAUCAUCUUGAGACACUGAUUAUAAAAAAAGACAAAAAUAAUUUGUAUUUGUCAAAUAAUUGAGAAGAUAUAUGACAAAUAUUUUUUGGGCUAUAGCCCAAAUCAAUUAUCAACAAUGACAUGUAUGUUUUCUUGUAAACCACAUGAUCUUCAGAAGGCAGGUGUUUACAGGAUAUAAAUACACAUUCUGUUGUCUAAAUCUUCCAGGUUGGGCUGGAGAAAGAGCCUCAUUUAAAAGCACAAGUUAUUCACAUUUAUUGGUUACCUUAAGGGCUUCAACUAACCAAGCUUCAAAUGGCAGAUUCUCAGCUGUUUCCUGAAAGGUGGGAUAUAUGCAAUGUCAUUUUAAUCCAUCACUGUUUUUAAAAGCAUAUUCAAAAUUCACUAAAGAAAUGUAAGUACUGGUUGCAUAUACAACAUAUAUUUUAGAAGAUUUUAUGACUUUGUUAACAUUAGUUUUUUACAUUGUUAAAACACUGGGGGAGAAAAACUUUUAAAGGGGUCAUGAUUUUAUAAUUUUUUUUA